rnacentral:rRNA from 1 species
UGCAUGAAGCUGGAAUCGCUAGUAAUCGCGAAUCAGAAUGUCGCGGUGAAUACGUUCCCGGGUCUUGUACACACCGCCCGUCACACCAUGGGAGCCGACAACGCCCGAAGUCAGUGACCUAACCGAGAGGGAGGAGCUGCCGAAGGCGGGGUUGGUAACUGGGGUGAAGUCGUAACAAGGUAAC